rnacentral:rRNA from 1 species
AAUCCAUAGGUUAAUGAGGCGAACCGGGGGAACUGAAACAUCUAAGUACCCCGAGGAAAAGAAAUCAACCGAGAUUCCCCCAGUAGCGGCGAGCGAACGGGGAGGAGCCCAGAGCCUGAAUCAGCAUGUGUGUUAGUGGAAGCGUCUGGAAAGGCGCGCGAUACAGGGUGACAGCCCCGUACACAAAAGCGCAUGUGCUGUGAGCUCGAUGAGUAGGGCGGGACACGUGGUAUCCUGUCUGAAUAUGGGGGGACCAUCCUCCAAGGCUAAAUACUCCUGACUGACCGAUAGUGAACCAGUACCGUGAGGGAAAGGCGAAAAGAACCCCGGCGAGGGGAGUGAAAAAGAACCUGAAACCGUGUACGUACAAGCAGUGGGAGCACAGGUUUACCUGUGUGACUGCGUACCUUUUGUAUAAUGGGUCAGCGACUUAUAUUCUGUAGCAAGGUUAACCGAAUAGGGGAGCCGGAGGGAAACCGAGUCUUAAUUGGGCGUUAAGUUGCAGGGUAUAGACCCGAAACCCGGUGAUCUAGCCAUGGGCAGGUUGAAGGUUGGGUAACACUAACUGGAGGACCGAACCGACUAAUGUUGAAAAAUUAGCGGAUGACCUGUGGCUGGGGGUGAAAGGCCAAUCAAACCGGGAGAUAGCUGGUUCUCCCCGAAAGCUAUUUAGGUAGCGCCUCGUGAAUUCAUCUCCGGGGGUAGAGCACUGUUUCGGCUAGGGGGCCAUCCCGGCUUACCAACCCGAUGCAAACUGCGAAUACCGGAGAAUGUUAUCACGGGAGACACACGGCGGGUGCUAACGUCCGUCGUGAAGAGGGAAACAACCCAGACCGCCAGCUAAGGUCCCAAAGUCAUGGUUAAGUGGGAAACGAUGUGGGAAGGCCCAGACAGCCAGGAUGUUGGCUUAGAAGCAGCCAUCAUUUAAAGAAAGCGUAAUAGCUCACUGGUCGAGUCGGCCUGCGCGGAAGAUGUAACGGGGCUAAACCAUGCACCGAAGCUGCGGCAGCGAACGUAUCACUUAAAGCGAUUCAGCGGGUUACGAUUGACGGAGCGAAGCGACGUCAAAGCGUAUACAAAGUCGAGUCGGUUUAAGGAUACGUUCGUUGGGUAGGGGAGCGUUCUGUAAGCCUGUGAAGGUGUGUCGUGAGGCAUGCUGGAGGUAUCAGAAGUGCGAAUGCUGACAUAAGUAACGAUAAAGCGGGUGAAAAGCCCGCUCGCCGGAAGACCAAGGGUUCCUGUCCAACGUUAAUCGGGGCAGGGUGAGUCGACCCCUAAGGCGAGGCCGAAAGGCGUAGUCGAUGGGAAACGGGUUAAUAUUCCCGUACUUGGUGUUACUGCGAAGGGGGGACGGAGAAGGCUAUGUUGGCCGGGCGACGGUU